CCCUUAGAUGUUCUGGGCUGCACACGUGCUACACUGGCAGGUUCAGCGAGCUUCAUGCCCUGAUCUGAAAGGAAUGGGAAAUCUUUUCAAAACCUGCCGUGCUUGGGAUAGAUGUUUGCAAUUAUUCAUCUUCAACGAGGAUUGCCUUGUAAGCGCACGUCAUCAGCGUGCAUUGAAUACGACCCUGUAUUCUGUACACACCGCCCGUCGCUCCUACCGAUUGAAGUGUUCGGUGAGUUGACAGGAGGAUUUUUUUGAAACUGGUUCGCCAGUGGAUUUUAGAUCCAAAUGCCAACGAAUCGAUGGCUUUAGAGGAAGGAGAAGUCGUAACA
rnacentral:rRNA from 1 species